UACAGAGGUCCCAAGCGUUGUUCGGAUUCAUUGGGCGUAAAGGGUGCGUAGGUGGCGCCGUAAGUCGGGUGUGAAAUUUCGGAGCUUAACUCCGAAACUGCAUUCGAUACUGCGGUGCUUGAGGACUGGAGAGGAGACUGGAAUUCAUGGUGUAGCGGUGAAAUGCGCAGAUAUCAGGAGGAACACCGGUGGCGAAGGCGGCAUCCUGGACCGACACUGACGCUGAGGAGCGAAAGCCAGGGGAGCAAACGGG
rnacentral:rRNA from 1 species